rnacentral:rRNA from 1 species
CAGCAGCCACGGUAAUACGUAGGUGGCAAGUGUUGUCCGGAAUUAUUGGGCGUAAAGGGCUCGCAGGCGGUUUCUUAAGUCUGAUGUGAAAGCCCCCGGCUCAACCGGGGAGGGUCAUCGGAAACUGGGAAACUUGAGUGCAGAAGAGGAGAGUGGAAUUCCACGUGUAGCGGUGAAAUGCGUAGAGAUGUGGAGGAACACCAGUGGCGAAGGCGACUCUCUGGUCUGUAACUGACGCUGAGGAGCGAAAGCGUGGGGAGCGAACAGGAUUAGAUACCCCGGUAGUCCCUGUCUCUUAUAC